CGGCGUGCCUAACACAUGCAAGUCGAACGGUGUAUGUAAUUUAUUAUAUACAUAGUGGCGAACGGGUGAGUAACGCGUUGGUGACCUGCCCUAAAGCGGGGGACAACAGUUUGCAAGGGCAGCUAAUACCCCAUGUGGUUGUUCGGGAUUAGAAGCGGACAACUAAAGGAUAGCCCUGUGAGGGGAAAUUCGCUUUAGGAGGGGCCUGCGUCCCAUCAGCUAGUCGGUAGGGUAAAGGCCUACCAAGGCGUAGACGGGUAGGGGACCUGAGAGGGUGGCCCCCCACAAUGGAACUGAAACACGGUCCAUACACCUACGGGUGGCAGCAGUAGGGAAUAUUGCACCAUGGACGGAAGUCUGAUGCAGCAACGCCGCGUGAGUGAUGAAGGCCUUCGGGUCGUAAAACUCUUUUCAAGGGGAAGAGGAAGGACGGUACCCUUGGAAUAAGCAUCGGCUAACUACGUGCCAGCAGCCGCGGUAACACGUAGGAUGCAAGCGUUAUUCGGAUUUACUGGGCGUAAAGCGCGUGUAGGCGGUUGGGAUAGUUGGAUGUGAAAGCUCCCGGCUUAACUGGGAGAGGUCGUUCAAAACUUCCCAACUAGAGUUUGGUAGAGGAAAAUGGAAUUCCGGGUGUAGUGGUGAAAUGCGUAGAUAUCCGGAGGAACACCAGUGGCGAAAGCGAUUUUCUGGACCGAUACUGACGCUCAGACGCGAAAGCUAGGGUAGCAAACGGGAUUAGAGACCCCGGUAGUCCUAGCCGUAAACGAUGUAGACUAGGCGUUGGUGGAGUAAAAAUUUCAUCAGUGCCGCCAGCAAACGCGAUAAAGUCUACCCGCCUGGGGAGUACGGCCGCAAGGUUAAAAACUCAAAAGGAAAUUGACGGGGGCCCCCGCACAAGCAGCGGAGCGUGUGGUUUAAUUCGAUGCUACACGAAGAACCUUACCAGGGGUUUGACAUAUAAGUGGUAGGGAAGGGAAACCGGACCGACCCUUCGGGGAGCUUAUACAGGUGCUGCAUGGCUGUCGUCAGCUCGUGUCGUGAGAUGUUCGGUUAAGUCCGCUAACGAGCGCAACCCUCGCCUGUGUGUUACAAGUGUCACACGGUACUGCCGGUCUUAAACCGGAGGAAGGUGGGGAUGACGUCAAGUCAGCAUGGCCUUUAUAUCCUGGGCUACACACACGCUACAAUGGGUAGGGACAAUUGGUUGCGAAACCGCGAGGUGGAGCCAAUCCGUAAAAACUACCCUCAGUUCAGAUUGCAGGCUGCAACUCGCCUGCAUGAAGUCGGAGUUGCUAGUAACCGCAGGUCAGCUAUACUGCGGUGAAUACGUUUCCGGGGCUUGUACUGGGGGGCCCGUCACGUCAUGGGAGCUGGUAACACCUGAAGCCGGUAGCUUAACCCGUAAGGGAGGGCGCUGUUCGAAUGGUGGCUGGUGACUGGGACGAAGUCGUAACAAGGUAGGAGUCUCCGAAGGUGCGCCUGGAUCACCUCCUUUAU
rnacentral:rRNA from 1 species